UGCCUAACACAUGCAAGUCGAACGUGAAAAGGGGCAACCCUGAGUAAAGUGGCGUAAGGGUGAGUAACACGUGGGUAAUCUACCUUAAAGCCCGGAAUAACCUGCCGAAAGGCGGGCUAAUACUGGAUAGAGCGAGGUGUCCGUAAAGGGCGUUUCGGGAAAGGGAGCUCGCAAGAGCCCUCACUUUAGGAUGAGCCUGCGCCCCAUUAGCUAGUUGGUAGGGUAAUGGCCUACCAAGGCUACGAUGGGUAGCUGGUCUAAGAGGAUGAUCAGUCACACUGGAACUGAAACACGGUCCAGACUCCUACGGGAGGCAGCAGUGGGGAAUAUUGCGCAAUGGACGAAAGUCUGACGCAGCAACGCCGCGUGAGUGAAGAAGGCCUUAGGGUUGUAAAGCGC
rnacentral:rRNA from 1 species